UACAGAGGGGGCAAGCGUUGUUCGGAAUUACUGGGCGUAAAGGGCGCGUAGGCGGCCGCCUAAGUCAGACGUGAAAUCCCUCGGCUCAACCGGGGAACUGCGUCUGAUACUGGGUGGCUUGAAUUCGGGAGAGGGAUGCGGAAUUCCAGGUGUAGCGGUUGAAAUGCGUAGAUAUUGGGAGGAACACCAGUGGCGAAGGCGGCUCACUGGACCGGUACUGACGCUGAGGCGCGAAAGCGUGGGGAGCAAACAGGG
rnacentral:rRNA from 1 species